UACGUAGGGGGCAAGCGUUGUCCGGAAUCAUUGGGCGUAAAGAGCGUGUAGGCGGUUCGGUAAGUCGGCUGUGAAAGUCCAGGGCUCAACCCCUGGGAUGCCGGUCGAUACUGCCGGACUAGAGUUCGGAAGAGGCGAGUGGAAUUCCCGGUGUAGCGGUGAAAUGCGCAGAUAUCGGGAGGAACACCUAUGGCGAAGGCAGCUCGCUGGGACGUUACUGACG
rnacentral:rRNA from 1 species